AAACUUUCACAUGACUGGCGGAAGUGGAUAUAACCACAGGGAGUGUGAAUUGGAAUAAAAGCCGACCGCCUGGGCAGUAAUU
rnacentral:ncRNA from 2 species